AAAACCAGCCCCCAAGACUCACAGAGUUGCCUUGGAGCAUCACUUGUCCUUGUUGGAAGAUUGCUCUUGUGCCUCCCAUAAAAGUAAGGAAGUACUGAGUAAGAGAUGUUCUUUUGUGAAGUGUGAUCACAGCUCCUGGCCUAGGAUUUCUUAGCAAGGAAUAAUUCUUUAUUUCUCUUCAGAGUUGAAAGGACCCCUAUAAUUGACAGGCCUCAUAGUCACAAAGUAAACUUCCAAAGGGAGAAGAUAAAAGGCCACUCACUGCCCUGGAAAACAAUGAGGAUUCCUUUCUUUGGGUGUGGCCUUCAUCUCACGUUUGAUAAUUCUGUAGGGUUUUAACUGUCACCCGACAGCAGUUUUCUUUUGACUCAGAAAAAGCCACAGGCUCUUGCUACCCAACUUGAGGUCAUUAAAUCCUUGAGUAAACUUCUAAGUUUCUCUUGGUUGAAGAGAAAUUUAUGUAGGAGGGGUGUCGAGGCCAGGCAUCAAAAUGCUCCAGGAAUUAUCUCAAAAGAGAAAUGUUUCCAGUUUGUGAUUUUGAUGUCUCACAGCACACCCCAGAGAGGUGGGCCUAUCUCCAAAUGAGGAAAACUAAACAUGAUUUCUCUACUGAGAAGCUAAAAGACUUCUAUGCAAAGAUCUUUGUUUUGUUUUAUUUCCUGAAAUAGAAGUAAGAAAAGAAAUGGUGGUGCAUCGGAAGUUCCUAAUUCUGAAAGCUUUUACCUAUACUCAGGGUUGCUUUUGUCCAAAUUUUCUCAGUUUUACUGAACCCAAGGGCAUUGAGAGCUUCAGCUGACAUGAGAGGAGAUAGCUAAUGUAUUGGCAAUGACUCUAACAGCCUCCAUACUUAAUUAUAUAAUUCUUAUUCCUCAUCCUGAUUUACCAAUUCAUAUAUUUUGGCAUACCUCUAUUUGAGGAUAAUGGUGUAGAACUAAAACAUUUUUCAUUUACUAAAUGGAUUUUCUUUGAAAUGUAUACUCCAUUAAUUUUCCCAGUAAUGUAUAGGUCAUAUCAUUAAUUACUGAAUGUCAUAGGAUGUCUUGCUUUGAUGAGAAAGCAGGAACAUUGGGUGUUUGCUGUUAAUUUAUAAAAGAGCCA
rnacentral:lncRNA from 9 species